CCACACUGACCCCCUCCUGGACCCCCUGCAGUUCACCUACAGAGCAAACAAGUCUGUGGAUGAUUCUGUCAACUUGGCCCUCCACUACAUCCUCCAGCAUGCUUAACUGUUAUCACGGACUCCCCAGGAACCUACCCAAGGAUCUUUUUUUGGUAGACUUCAGCUCUGCUUUCAACACCAUCAUCCCGUCUCUCCUGCAGGACAAACUAUCCCAGCUGCACGUGCCCGACUCGACCUGCAAGUGGAUCACAAACUUCCUGUACAAUAGGAAGCAGCAUGUGAGGCUGGAGAAUCCAAUCUGAACUUAUAAACAUAUAAAGGAUAUACUGUUGGGGCGACUGUGGCUCAGUGUUAGUGAACGGUUGUCCUUUUAAAAUUUGAGGAUCAGUGGUUCCCUGCCUUUGCCAGUCCAUGUUGAUGUGUGGUCCCAAAGGCCAUACUCAUAACCCAAAAUGGGUUUGAAUGGGUAGUUCAGCCUCCCAGACUAUCAGCACAGGUUUCCCCCAAGGCUGCGUUCAUUCCCCUCUGCAACUCCAGUCACCAUUACGUCAAGCUCCUGAAGUUUGCAGAUGCCACCACCCUCUUUGGACUGAUCUCUGGUGGGGACGAGUCUGCCUACAGGUGGGAGUCUGACCAUCUGGUGUCGGGGUGCAGCCAGAACAACCAGGCAGGGAACCACUGAUACUCAAAUUGUAAAAGGACAACCCUUCUCUACCACUGAGCCACAAUAGUAUAUCCUUUAUAUGAAAGUUCAGAUCGGAGAUAGAAUCAAUUUAUCCACUACCAACAAAUUUGAAUUUGUGUUAAAAUGAAAAUUGAUUUUCACUUUAACCAAGGUGAUCUAUGAUACACAACCAACACCGCUUCUCUAAGCUCCAGAAAUCCAUACUGAAAGUUAUUUUAAGUCACAGAUCAACAUCUCAGCAUGAGGUAAUAAAAGGGAGGUGUGUUGCCAAAAAAGCAGCAACCACAACAAACACUAUAAAAAUGUCAUUCAAGUUGGUCGCAACAAUCAGCAGCAGUCCAUUCUUAAAUAUCCCAGUCUCAAACAAAGGAAAAGCAAUCUGAGAACUGGUGGCACGCUGUUGGGGAAACAUAAAUAAUAUUUAAUCUUAGGUCAAUACUACUCAGAGGACAGAGAGUCUGUGAUCCCUCACGCAGAGACACAGUGCAUUCAGGCUGAUAGUGAAGAUGUUCGUUGUGGCAACCAACGGCUGUGGGUGAAAUGAUAGCACUCGUAUGCACGAGUGGCUGCACAAAAAUAAGGUCAAAAAAAAAAAUGAGGCCAAAACAGGUUCUUCCUCUCUUGAGGGAUCGGUUCAAUAGGUCCAACCAGGCUGUCCAGCCUUCCGUCUCCUUACUGCGGAAAACACAGAAAAACAACGGGGAUUAACACACAUGCCCCAACAUGCCCCUGCGUGAAGUCAGCUCCUGCUCACCUCUGACCUUGGUGCUGAUCUUUGCUCCUGUGCAGUUUCCUGAGGCUCUGUCCACGGUGCUGCCAGGGUGCCAGUGUCCAGAUAUCGUGGUGCCCGAGGUGUAGAAGAUGAUCGUCUAGCCCAGAGCUCCCCGCGUUUUAGCAAAUGUUAUCUCCAGGUAUAUAUUUAAGCACCGAUGAAGAACUUAGUGCAUGACUUGUAUGCGUGUCAAUUCUAUCUCAUACUUGCUUUUAAAUGAUUUUACACCGGUGCCGAGAAAUAAUUUGUAUGACACAGUUACUCCUCCAUCAGACAAAGAGCAACUUACAAAUUAAUCUGGAGUCUCAGACAAACUCCUGCUUAGCUGGUUGCUAAACCAUUUCUAUUAGGUGUGUUGGUGAUGAGUGGGGAGCUUACUAAACCGUUUUCUCUAAUUGCUGCUGCUUCAGAAACGGAGUUAGUGAGGGAAGUAAUACUGAACUAAAAUGAAUGAUAAAGGUUGUCAAAAUAAAACAAAGGGCUAAAAAUCACGAACAUUUAGAAGAGGCAACAUAUGGUCGAUGACUGAAACCUUUCACAGCACACUUGAAAACAUGCUUGUAUAAACAUAUUGAUAAGUGCAGCUUAAAAAAUAUCUUAGGUCAAAUCAAAAAGGUAAACACACACGCAGACUUUUAAUAUUUAAGAAUAUACAGUCUCACUGCGAGGGUCUGUAAAUACUCACACAAACUGGUGUGGGAAAUAAUGCACUAAGCCAAAGUUAGUAUGUGUACCGUGCCAAUCUGGCCAGCAGACGGCGUCUGACCCCUUAACAUGGUAUACACACCCCCUAACGCCGGGGGUCCCCUUAACGUCACCAGAGACCCUCAAAACUCCAGGCUGGCAGAAGUCAGCUAGCUAGGACACACGUGGUGUAAAGAACAAUUGCUAUCGCUAUCCCACUGCGCAGUGUAGUUAGCUUAAUUUGCUGUAUAGAUAGAAGACUAUAGUAGUUGUUAUUUCAAAAAGUUGUGAUCUGAUUAGUCAGUUAAUAAACUCUUAUUUAGAAGGUCGGUGAAGGGCUCACGAUGUGCAUGUCAAGCAUCCUAGUGCCACCUAUGUGUUGUUGUGAUGUUUGUGGGUGGGUUAAAGUAACGGGACGCAGGAGCGUUGUCAGAGUUCUUGUGAUUGAAAGCAGUUGUUUUGUUUCAGCGCAGGCUACGGCCAACAAUAAAAUCCUAAGAAUGCGUUGUCCAGAACUUCAGUAGCGAGAGUUGCUACAAUACUAUACACACUAUGUAUGUGUAGUUGUAUGCAUAGUCUGUGCCUAAACUCGAAAACCUCUGUUUGCUUUUAAUGGCAAUAGUACCUUGACGAUUGAGCAAACAUCAAGCAUGAGAUUGAAAGCAGUCUUGUGGGACAUGCAGAGUACACAAGACCCACAAGACAACUCCAGGGCCCUGUUCUUCAUACGUUGUUCAACUAAGUCGAUCAAAUGUCCAUUUAUCCAGCUCAAAUUAACGAGAUGAUUGACAUCAGGCUCUCGGUUCUUCAAAGGCUGAUCUUACUCGCAAAAGGUCUCGUUAGUUUGAGUCAUCAGGAUAAUCGCGCGUGCGCAUCCUACGUUAGAAGGCGGAAGAGUCGAUCCCCGAUUUUUAACGGUACAACGGCAAAUAUACUUAAAGAAGAGUGUCUUUUUCUCCUCUGAAGAGCAGGAGAUGAUCAUGAACGCAUUUAAGGAGAUAAUGUGUAUUUAAAUCAUUUCUGUUGGAUGAAUUGAAUGUAUUGCACAUCGUUCGCGUUGUUCAAUCUGUACGUCCAUCUGCGUCCAUCGCAGUCCAUGAAACAGGAAGAUCCAUCCGGGGGUGGAUCCUCCUGUUUCUCUUAAGGUUUCUUCCCGUUAUUCUCCCCAACGAAUGCUUUUUUCUUUUUUCCUGCACCGAUGUGAGGGAUUCAGGACAGAGGUGUGUACAGACUGUGAAGCCCUCUCAGGCAAAUUUGCGAUUGUGCUAUAUAAACUAAAAUUAAUUGAGUCAAAUAAUCACGGCAAAGACUGCCGCCGCCCCCCUGUGAGGGCUACAAGCCCGACAAAGUAUCGCAGAAAAGCUGAAUGUGUGUUGGGAAAAUGUAAGUGCCUCAUCAUUAAUGAAUCAGGGUACAUUUCUUUAAAUGUGCCUGCUUGCAUGAGGCUUCAUCAAAUGCAUCAUGAUCCAAUGAGAAUAGUUAUCUGAACUCUUUCAGAAUAUGUAGAUGACAAGCCCAAAGAGUGACCAUAUAGAACUAGGAGUUUUAUUAUGUGUGUGUGAAUGUGUAUGGAUGAAUCAGUAUAUAUCGGUUACUCAUAAUCAAACAUUUCAUCAAUUUGGACAGAAAAACAUGGAAUAGAAGUUUAUUAAGUGCCAAAUAAACCAACAGAACUGAUCACCACAUGCAGAGGUUUUCCAGAUGUUGUCUGCAUCGCAAGACUGUACAGACAUGGACAGUAUGAGAGACAGUGUGUGAGACAGUGCAUGAGACAGUGCAUGAGACAGUGUGCGGGCAACUCGUGACCUGACCUAGUUCACGAUGGCAUCCUGUUUGGAAGAAAGGUGCCUUGACUGAUCCAUAUCGUGUUUUCUCUGUCUGUCAAAUAUGAUUGACUAGGUCCCAUUAGGGGAGGGUCACGGGCGUCUCCCAACGACAUCUUCCUUUUGCAGGGGGGUCUUCUGGUUUCCUCAACACAAACCUCUCAGAAGUGUAUAAAAGCUCCUGUUCUCCCCAGAAGCUUGGUCAGAUCUUUUAGCUCCUCUGAGGGAGAAAGAACAAUCUGCCCCUUUUCAGCUGAAUUGUAGUCAUUUGACUUCUGUCUGUACUUACGGCUUGAGUUGAUGAUUUCUGUAUUGUUUAGCAUUUUUCGAUACUGCACAAAUCACGAAGCGAGUUCAAGAUACUUUUGAUUUCUCACAUGGGCUUAAUCCACAAAUUUCCACCACAUUUCCUAGCAAUGGAAAUUAUCAGAAUGUCUUCAGAACAAAGGGCAGUGAAAAAGAUUGUUUUUAAAAAAGGUCUCACUUUACCCGAGCUUAGGGGUAAAGUGAGACAGACCAGAUAAAUCAAGGGGGUAAAGUGAACCAGCUGGGGGUAAACUGAUCCACUUACCUUUUCCACUUUAAAACUAGCAUAACAACAUAUGUUUUAAUAGUUAAAAUCUUGACCGCUAGAUUGACAACCACACAUUCCAAAACUAAUAUCAGACUAGUAACAGAAUCAUGGCGAUUGGUCAAUUAAGCACAUUUAUUUAAACAUUGGAAGUAACUCUGGACAAAAUCAUAUACAACAUAGUAUAAUUCAAAAUGUUUUAAUUAAUUACAGAUAGAACCAGUUAGAUUAGAACAGUCAUGGGACCAUGAUCAGAUGUGGUAGGAUUUCACGAGGAGACACAUAUCCAGGUUGGCUGGGACAUGGCACAUCUGAGUCAGCAGGAGAGGCACAUCAAUGUGAACAUGAUAGGUGGAUGGAUUAGCAUCAGUGGGUGGAUCUGCAGGGAGUGGACAUCAGGGGUCUCAAACUCAAAUCAGGUGCGGGCCAGAUGCAGCCCACUUCGACCUAACACGGGCCAGACCAUUACCGUUGACGGGGGGGGGGGGGUGUAGGCGCUGAUGGUUCGACAGGCGAACGGUACGGUCGACAGGGGGGUACGGAUUUGGCCGGUCUGACACCAUGGAUGGUGCGAACGCUUCCUCAGGAAAAAUAUCUCGGUUAAAUGGGAAAAUCCCAGUGGCUUUGAAUCCAGAAAUGAUAUUCCGUGGUGUACUGCUGACAAGAAGGCCUCAUUCACAAGUCCUGUUUUGCCAGGGAUAGAUCUCACCCAUCCAUCAAGAGCUCGGCUGUAUAGGGUCUUGAAGGGCCCAUACACGGUCACAUCGAUAGGCUGCAUGCGAUGGCAUGUGUGGGGUGGAAGGGUGAGCAGACCAAUACCGUUGGCCCACCGCCACCAAUUUAGAAAAAACAACAUCUCUUCAAUCAAUUAAGACUAAUCUUCAGCUAGCAUUAAUCACAUGGUUUUAUGUGUUGGAAGUUCAUUGACAUGUAUGAUAUAGAUUUUUCUACCGGAAUCAUUCACAAUCAUUUGUUUUGACACAACAGUUGAUUAUGUUUACAGCAAGAAAAUGUACUUUUACAUGCAAAAAACACAUUUUUGUGAAAAACAUCUUCUUCAUGGCAAGAGGGAAAUGGGAGGGCUCUUGAAAACAUAAUGGUCACAUGACAAUAAAUGUGUUCCGCCCUAGAUACAGCGGGUGUCUCACAUUACCCCGUUCUCCCCUACUGAUAUCCUUGCCCAAUUCUGACCUAGAAUCGUUCGGACCUAGCCUGCCUUUUGACCUGGAAUUCUCUGUCUGCUCCUUUUCGGAUCUGUUUGCCUGUCUGAAUGCCAUCCUGGUUCUGACCCCCGCCUCUUCUUUUCUACGGAUUCCCUGCCUGCACCUCUGGAUUUUUUUGCCUGUUGGACUGAUAUCCCAGUUUUGACCCAGACUAAACACAAGUAAAGAAUUUUGAUUGGAUUUCUAUUUCCAAGUUGUCCUUUGGGGUUGUAGUACCUGUAAUCCUCACACGGUAUUUCAGGGGGCUUACCACAAAGGUGCCAACACACACUCACACAACAGUACAGAACUACACUGAAGUCAAAGAGCACAUCUUAAACAUCUGCUGUAAAAAAAUAAAAAAAUAGUGUCAUCCUUUUUCUGUGUAGAUUGGUUCCUUGGUUUGUCUCCCUAACAUUUGAGGUAGAAAAGGAGCUCCACUACGUCUGUAUCAGGCAGCCACAAUCGCUUAGGUUCUCACAAACAUUUCCAGUAAGGGAUCAGAAUCCGGUUAGAGUGCCGUGGUUUUUCCCCACACACAUAUUAUAUCCAGCGGUCUGAUUUCCCCAUUAUGACUGCAGUCAUCUCUGCUGCUCCAAACCUAAGCGUCUGAUCCUUUGUCUUCUCUGCUCUCUUCCCUCUUAUUGUAAUUUAUUUAUAUUAUUAUAAUGAUUAUGAGAAAUAUAACGAUUAUUACAGUCACUUUCCUGUCUCACCUGCUAGUAUACAAGCGACUGAUAGAUAAUAAAUGCUAUGUAAAAACAUGAAAUGGUAAAUUUUGGUAAAUAAAUGUUUCCUGAUUCCUGAAAUAUGGCAACUACACCUAAAUACCUUACAUCAUAUUACAAUUUUUAAGUUUUAAUACUGAAUUUAAUAGUACUAUUACUCAUUGGCCAGUAAUUUAUCCCUCUAUUCAAGUGUCCCACGGGCACCAUUUUGUUCACUUCUGGUAGUAUCUGCCAAACAGGCCAGGAAGAAGUGGACAAACCUUAAAACGAGAUAAAAGAUAAUCUCCACUUUGUAUUAUGGACUAUGAGAGUCCGAUUCCCCUUAAAUAAACUACUUAUAGUUAUCAAAGCCAGGUAUUCAACCCAUGCACGAGAAUGUGUUCUCUGAAAUGGUGUACACUUUCUUUCAGCUUUGCAGUGAAAUAAGUAAUAACCUGCUUUGAGGAGCAUAGGGACCCACCAACGGGGAAAGGGGUAGAGGCCGGUAGUGUCACUGCUGCUACCUGGCAGUGGUACACAGCCAUGGAUGCUGCACUCCAGGGGCAGCACUUAAUUAGUCCGCCCCUGGUUGUUGCAGCAAACGUGACUGCCACUACGGGUGGCACAGUGAGCACAUCUGCCUCUGGCUGACCCUUGCUGUAGAAGAAGCAGGGGUCAGCCAAGGGAGAGGCCCAGGGACUGAGAGGGUAUUCUGGAGUUCCUCAAAGAGCGAUGAGGAGAGGGAGCAGGUGGCAAGGGAAGAGGAGAGAGAAAGGGCUCCAGAGAGAGCAGAGUGCUAUUGGUCUCUGUUCGAAAAACUUGUUGAUAAAAUGAAAAUAAAUGUCAUGUUGUAAAUUCAACACAGGGUAUGCAGUUUGUACAACAGUUCUUUAUGGUGACAUGAAAACAAAUCAGUCACAAGGAACAAAAACAUAUAUACAAAUCAACUCAGAUGUAGUCGUGUUCACGAAGGCAAUUAGCCUCAGUUCCUCCGGAGCACAAAGCUAGGCGGCGAGCCUUCCUUGGAUCCCGUUCCCCUUCAGGUCCCUUGAAGUUCCUCAGCCACUUCUCAAAGAAGUUCAAUUCAUGUCAGAGCAACUAUUCAACAAUAGAGAAGGAAACACUGGCGCUUAAUGAAGUUUAUGUCGGCACUGGGGGAAAACCAGUAGUUGUGUAUACCGAUCAAAACCCAUUGACAUUUUUCAGUUCGCUGCACUCCCCAAACCAACGUCUGAUGCGAUGGACUUUGUUUCUGCAAAGUCAUAAAUUUAGAUGUCAGACACAUUAAAGGCAAGGACAAUAUAAUGGCAGAUGUUUUUGGGUUAAAUGGUCUGAAUUGUAGUGGUGAGGGUUGAUAUUGUGAUUAUGAAAUGUAACCGUCAUACUUUCCUCUGUUCUCAUCUCUCUAUUUAAAGGUACCUGGUUGCAGAGGUGGGGCGUAGUUUUAAUGUAGAGGGUGGUGAGGUAGUAGUUAUGUUUUUUUUUGUGGAGUUUGCGGUGAUCCCUGUGGGGACUCCGUCUUAAGGGGAAGGGUGUGGCGACCCCUGCUGUGGAGGCAGCUUCCUUUGAAUAAUGAUGUACCUGAAAAAAGUGUCAACUUUAUAGAAACUAAAAUGCAUGCUGUUAGAUGACACUUAAAAUGCAACGUAAACAUUGCCUCUGGAAGAUGUAAGUGAUAAGCAAAUGAUAUUUCAUUGUUUUAAAUCAUAAAAUAAAACCUUGAGUGGGAUGCUUUCAUCCUUGGCUCCAUGGCUGCACUUUGAGUAAGAGGUUGGGGAGAUUGAGAGUGGGUUCUCCUGCUCGGUCAGGAACUUUGAUACAAGCUGCACGUUGUGCUUCAGGGAAACUCAUCCUGGAUCUGUAAGACAAAUAAUGAAAUCUGGUUCAGAGCAACACAUAUUACAAGUGUACACAUGGUUCUUUAUGCUGUGUUCACACAGUAGUUUACAAACUAAGUCAAUGCACUGACGCAAAUAACGAGUGACUCGAACAAUUCGCCUCACGUGCUUCCCGACGUAAUACAUUACAUGUCAUUUAGCUGACGCAGAGUCACACAAAAUAACCUGAAAUAUCCCAUGCGUGUGAACACAGCGUUAUAACAUGCAUAUUACUGUGGAGCAGCUCAUAAUAACUGAUCUGAAACCAGCGUUCACAGGCAGUGCGGUGUGACGUCAGGCCGGGAGGAGACCAUCGAAUCCACAACGUCACUACGAUAGAGAACACAGAAAGAUGGCGGUCUGGAUCUCCUGCUGGCUCUCAGCACCGGGAACGUGAGGACUGUGUGACUAAUGUUACGUUACUAACGCCGGUGAACUUGUAAUAGUCAGCAAGACACCGGCCACAGCGUGCACAACACACAUCAACACACUAUAGCUUAGUAUAAUGUCAGGUUUUAGCAGAUCUUCAGCUUGCCAUGUUAAAGUUACUUACAAAACGACGAGCAGGGAUAUGCCGUAAACAUUUGUUAAAUUUAGCUCAAUAAAAUUCCAAACUGUACUUAGUCUUUUUUAUUAUGUAGAUAUUAAUUAACGCCAAUCCCAGUUUUUACAGUGCAUCAAGAAAUGCUGCAUGUUAAAAUCCCCACCCUGUAUAUAUGACACUGCAUACUUAUCCAUUCAUCCGCAAAUCGCUUAUCCUGCACACAUGGUUGGGGGGGCUGGAGUCUAUCCCAACUUGGGGCCAUAACUACAUACUUAUGAGUAAUUAUAAUUAGUUGGAGAUAGCAGCACCGGGAUGCCGGGACUACAGCUCCUCUUCUUCAUCAUCUUCUUAUCAACUGUAUAAUGACUGAUCCAUUGAGUUAGUCUGUUUUACUUUAAAUGAAAAGAAACAAAAGCUUGAUAGAAAAAUAAAAUACGCAAGAUUGAUAGUUCGAGUCCAGGCUGCCCCAUGUCCCAUGCCGAAGUGUCCCUCAGCACGACACCAAACCCCUAAUUGCUCCCCCGGGCAAAAAUGUAAAAGCCACGGUUUAAAAACAAUACAAUGUAAGUCGCUUUGGAUAAAAGCGUCAGCUAAAUGACCUGUAAUGUAACUUACAAUCCUAACGCUCUUGUCUAGCAAAUGAAAUUGUUAAACGUAUUCAGUUCCGGAAUUAGGAAACAUUUAUUACCAAAAUAUGUCAAACAUACAAGGAAUUUGUCUUGGCGGUUGGUGGCGUGGUCCUUGCUGUUUUUUAAUGUUUUACUUAUUCCCUGGGUAAGUAGACAGAUUUGUUAUCAGCUCAAAAGCUCACAACCAGUAGUCAAAGAGAAUAUUCAAUUGCCUGAAUUUAACUUAAAACCUGACAAGUUUGGACAUGAUGGUUGCAACACCGAUGGAGUUGCUGGUUCUCAAAAAAAUCAAAAUACACAGUUUGAUCAGUUAUAUUAAUAUGAUACUUUCUAUCUUUAGUGUUAUGUGUAUAACCAAUUUUCCCCAUAAGUGUGCAUGUCAAGGGGCAAAACCCACUGACCAUCUUAUAAAAAGAAAGCAUUGUCAUGUCUCCCAGAUCUGUGGUGAGAUCUAAUGACUUUCCAGUUGCGUGCUGGCUUAAAAUGUCUUCUUUGCUGCAUCGCUGUGAUUUGAAAGAAUAAUAAAAAUUACUGGAAAAUUGUUCAAAUUAAUAUGCAGAGACAACAAUGUAUUGCAGUACAUUAUGUAAUGUUUAAAUGAUGUAACGCAAAUGGGAAGCCUCUAUUCUUAGUGGGAACGUCAACCAUCUCAGGAGCAGCCACAUGUCCCUGAGGUGGCGCAGAGUAAUGUGUUGCUGGCCCUGGUGUCUCACUGCAGUCUUGUCUACAUGAUCAGAUAUCUACCUUCGCUUCGGGACGCACUUUCUGUGGUGGUCACCAUCAGGGGUGGAAGUAAUAAAUUACAAAUACUCACGUUACCAGGGACAAAAUUGUGUGGGGGCUUACCACGAAGGUGCCAACACAAAGUGGGGGGGGACAGUAUUUUUAAUAAAACUAACUUUUUCAGUUCACUGUGUUUUCUAGUAGUUCUUCUAGUUUUCUAUUGCUACUUUUAAUUUUACGGUUCCUUUUUUGGCACCAACUCCUACUAAGUACCACCUAUUUCACACUUUUUUUUGGAAUAUGGUAAACAGACCUCAUUUACAUAGCGGGUCAAACUGGCAGGAAUAUCAGAGGUGUAAAUUGAAUAAAAUGUCCAUAAUUCAGUGUAAGAAGUGAAGUCAUUUUAUUCGAAAUGAGUGUAACAGAGAACCACUGUAAUUUUUAGGCAGUUGUAUUAAAGACAAAAAUCUACCGCUGACCGCCAACGGUUUUUGACAGUCCGUUCGCUACUUUUUUCAGUUACAGGGCCAACACACACGCCAAACUGCAUGCUGGGUACAGCUCACAACAAGAAGUAACGUUAACUCUGUUGCUACAUGAAAACACGGAAAAGAGCGAUACAGGAGGAACAACAAGAGACCAGAGAUGCACCAACACAACUUGUGCCCAAACGAGGAGCUGUGUCUGUUUGGAGGGUUUUUGGUAAGUUACGUUAGAUCAGAAAGCCGAACAGCUGUUCGGGUAGCCGCGGUCCUUUCCCGGGUCAAUAAAUUUGUCAUGAACCGGGUACCUUCCUCUUCUUUUUCCUUUACACCUCUUUCGUGUCAUUUACACACACACACACACACACACACCCUCCUUUCACUUACACCCGCUCAUUCACUCCCAGAUGCUUCUCAUUCUCUCAUCAUCCUCUUUCCCUCACCUGUUCCUGCUUCCUCUAAUUAGAAGCUCUAUUUCUAGUCGGCCUCUUCCCUUUGUUCUCCGCCAGAGCAUAAUCUGCACUAUACGUGCCUGAGCUUACUGUCCCGUACCCCCUGCCCUGCCCUGCCCUGCCCUACCCUGCCCUGCCCUGCCCUGCCCUGCCCUACCCUGCCCUGCCCUGCCUUGACGGUUCGUGUUGAACUAGUACUGUAUCGUUGCUAAACCUCUGAGGUCUAUUUUUGCCUCGGCCUUCCAGAGUUUAUCAAAAGAGACUUUACCUUGCUUUGCGUUUGAGUUCUCUCUCCCUCACAACCACAACAGAAUGACUGUGUUUGAAACUUGAAAAACAAUACUGUGCAGCCCUUCCUUACGCCUCCUCUACCUGGUUGCCGCCCUCCCUGCCCCCUUUUGUAUUAGUGUUGUGAUGAAACUCACCCUGUUUGCCCUCUCUUCCAGGUGAGAGCAAUGACACCAAUAACCAAUUGGGAAUCAUCUAAUUUGUUAUCACCACUACUAAAUUUAUUAGUGUGCUGACAAUUGUAACUCAGUUACAUGUCCCCAGCGGAACAUUAGCUUUUAAAAUGCUCCUCCAUAAAAUGCUGUUCAGGCGGCCUUUGGAGAAAUCCAAUAUUAAUUUCACUGUAUAGUCCCUUAAAUGGGGUUUAUGAGCCCAAAUUAUCUACAUAACCUUGUCUUAGGUUUGAGGUUUUGUGUAAUGAAUAUCUUUAAUACCAUCUGUUAUCAUACUCUUACUUCAUCCAUACAUAACAUCGUAUUUCAUGACAAUUUACAACAUCCAUAGCAUCUGCAACAAACAAUCAAAAGCGCAAGUAUUAUGGAAUUGUUGCUAGAUUUCUGCUUGUCCGCCAGGCUAUGGGAACACACAUCAAACUCCCCUGUCAAAAAUCUUGUGAUGGAACAGUGACAUAUUUCAAAGCUAAAAUCAGUCACAAUAUGACAGAGAAAUGACCACCUUCCCUUAAGAGCAAUGUGUCAGUUUCAGGGCCAAUCAGCUCAUUGACGCUGACACAAAUUGACACGUCAACAUCAAAUAAAAACCGCUACUGUAACACAACGUUUUUUGGGGGUUUGAACUCUGAGGAAUUUUGAGUUUUGAACUUCAAACAUUGAUUAUGUUUCGCUUACUCUUUGCAUCAUUUAAGUAGAUAUUUGAUUCUCAAAAACGUUGGACACUUAUCCAGCACAGUUAUCAACUUCUCCAAUGUAUGACUAUCGAUGAUUUGUUGUAUAAUUUGAAUGUACAACAGGCAGCCCUGAUUAACUGGCAACCAGUCCAGGGUGUAGCCGUUCUCUUGCUCGAUGUUUGCUAGGAUUGACUCCAGUCCCCCUACAACACUCUAUAUAAACGAUAUAGAAGAUUAAUGACUGACUGACUAUUUUAUAGGUAUUCUUGCUGUGUGCAGUAGGUCAACACUCCCAGUCAGUGUUAAAUGAUUAUGUUCCAAUCUUAUGGUCUGCCCGAGAUGUGCAAUCAAGUCACGAGGCUCCAUUUAAGUGGAAAUAUAUCAUCCUGCGGAUCUGCCAUUGCAGUGGAAGCGCAGCAGGGCUGUAGACAGCUAAGGUUUUAGGGAUGGAUACGUGAGGGGUUGGGUUAGGGUUAAAUUAAAAUCAAAAUGUUUAUUUUGUAACAAAACCCAGUGCAGUCACACUAAAAUAUUUAAUUGAAUACAGCCAUCAGCAGUUAAACCACACAGUGUUAUGGGUCAGCUGCCGUUUCUCCCCAUCCUGUGUGUUUGUAUCUUCGUCCCCAGAACCCCGGGCUCAGCCUUGGCUAUCCCCGUCCCUUGGAGUCCUGCACUCAAUAAAAUUACUUCUACUGAGGUGUCAGUGUCCUGUGUGAAUCUCUGUGUGCCGGGUCGACUACCCAGCCUUGACACACAGACUGGCGUAUCCCAGUUCAGGUGCCCCAAAGAGACCCUCCACAUUUUUCAUUUCCAGUCUUUGGCUGGAUUGAAAUUGUCAAAUUUGCUUAGGAAAGUUGUUAACUGAGUGAAAUGACCCGCAACAAGUGGCCGCCAUGAUAAGAGCUUCUCUCGAAAUCAGAGGUGCCAAACUCAAAUACAAUUUGGGCCAAAAUGGGUGUAAGUCAAGCGCAUUAAAAACAUUGAUCAAAGGAAAACCUGUUGCAUUCAUUCGUAACAAAGUGCAAAAAGGAAACAUUCCCACAGUUGAGCAGCUUAAGUAUUGGGGCAUUGUAGCUGGGAACGUGGAAACUGCAUGUGUCACUACAUUAGAGUUCAAUCAGCUCCAUUUGGAGAUGGUUAGUGCACUCUCCACGUCAGCUACAAAUGGGAAGUAUGUUGGAUUUCACACAUGUCGGAUUCACAUUCACAAAAUGUAUUUUCUACUCUUUAAAAAAUUAAGCUAGAAGAGUGGAAAUGUGUGGCAAUGCUGGUCAAAAUAUCUGGUAAAAAUCUAUUUUUGAACCAGAUUCUGAAGCUGUCCACUCCAACAUGCCACGUACACACGCAUGUAAAUCUCAAACAGUCUGGAACACUUGAGUUUGCAUAAUCAGUUAUAUUAAAAAAAGUUGAAUAGAUAUCAAAAAUCGUUGUGGGUGUUGUCAACAUUUUGAAAUAGUGGCUGUAGCUGAAAGAUUGAGGAAGAAGAAGGAUUUGAAUGUUCAGGAAUCCUAUAUACAUACAUAUUCCCUGACAAAAGUCACAAGUUGAACUUAAGUGCCCCUCAAAUAUAUUUGUAACACAUUUUUGGGGCUAAUUUCAAUCUAAACAUCUUUUGAAAUGUUUUGGUGCCAAACGAAACUACUGAAAAGCGUUCUAACGUUCACAGCUUGGUAAAGCCCACUGAGUCAGUUUUUGCAAAGACAAAAGUCUUGUCUCCUUGUCAUAUGAUGCACCCAAUCCUGGAUUACAGCCUCACCUGUGAUCAAUAAUUGAUCAAUUAAUUAGUGGGUGUGUAUAAAAAGAACCCCAGCACACGAUACCCUUCACAUUAACCGCAACUUGACCUCAGACAGCAUGCCCAGGAUUGACCCUGAGAUCAAAGCGUUGAUUAUCAAGAUGCUGAAGACCAGAUCCACUGCUGAGGUGGCUUAGCGUCAAGUACAAAGAAUAAGAAAAAGAUUUGAAGAGACUGCAGAUAUUUUGGACAAGCCCAGUGUCACGGCUAGCCGUCCCCUUUAAUGUGAGCGCUCAAAACGCAGACACUGUUGUGCUAACCUCGCUCACGCCUUGUUUUUCUCCGUCGUUCCACCUUUGCAAGGCUACCUUUGUGUGUUACGCCUGUGCCCCCCUAGGCACGAUAGGCAGGCCGUAACACCUUUUGGUAAAUCAAAUGUUAUAAAGGUUGAGAAACAAUUAUUUUUCUAAGUAAUAUUGGUUUCUGCAAGGCAGUGUGGAAGUAAAGCGAACAAUGGCUGAUGGUACACAGAUCAUUAUUACUCACUAGAGCAGACCUCCACAGCUGAGGAAGCGAUUCGGCCACAGUGCUGUCCGUCAGCCCUGUGGUAUACGUUCGGAGACAAGAAUUUGCUGAAAUGUGAGGGGAGGUUUAAUUUGAUGGGUACAUGCUGCUUAAACCACAAAUGUGCUCACAGAGAGCGAAGGCAAAGAGCGCCACGCCUUUGAGGGACUGACUUUUGUUAGCGGCACAAUGUCACAUUUCCAAUCAAUCUCUCUGUGUGCUGGAGGUUGUCUGAGCCACAAUUAUUUAAUAUGCAGUUUUCUGCAAUUUUGUCCAAAGAAGAUAGGAAUCAAAAUAUGGUAGAGGCAUUGUUUGUUUGUCAUCACACAAUGACAUUACUGCUCUUCUCUGGGCCUGAAGCGAGAAAGCAAUUUAAAUGAUAACAUGGAACGGGUAGCUGUGGUAGGAUACAAAUAAAAAAGGUAAGACUCAGUGUUCCUCAUGGGCUUUUCAUAAGACUCCUCAAGCACGGGUGACUGCUGGUAUAUGAAAAGCUGUCGGGGGAAAUUAAUCAUAACUAUCUCAGUAUAGUGAUCAAAAAAAUAAAAGCUCUAAGUAUGGUGAAAUCAACAGGUACAUAUGAUAUCUGGUACAAAAAGAAGUCCAUAACAAUUUUUAUGACUUAAAAACAAGGACACUUCUAAAGCAGUCUUUAACACGAUGUCUCCUGAGUGGAUGUGCUGUGACUCUUGCCCACCAAAAGUGGUCUCACACUGGUUUUAUUACGCCACUACUUCACAGCACACUUGGUUGUGUUUACAUAGCGGUCAGACCACAGGGCGCACAAUUGACACACACAAAUUCAGCGCUUUCUGAUCGCACACAAGGACUCGUUGUGUCACUCGUACGCCAACUGGUUCAAUACUUUAUAUUUUUAGCAAAAAAAAUUAACGUUUCAGCCUAAGAAGGCAUUCAACUAUUGUACAUUUGCUAAUAUUUUAGUCAAAUCUCUCAUUAUGAAUGCUGCCAUACCUGCUUAUUUGUAUAAUUUAUUCCACAAUUAUUAGUGUAAUUACUGCGCUUACUGUAGAAUUAUGAUUCUUUUUGUACUAUGUUGCAAUCGUAAUAUCUGAUUUGAGGCUAUACAAAACAUAAUUAAAUUGAUCUUGAAGUAGAAAGGAAUUUAAUGUAAAACUAACAAUAGUAAGUAAUGACUUACCUCAGAGUUCAGGUUGCACUAUAUGAUUAAGCUGCAACUACAUGAGGCCAAUCACAAACUGGCUCUACGCUUCAAAUUAUCUCAAACCAGUGGUUUCGAAACUUUUUUCUGUCAGGGCCCCCUUGGAAGAUAAAGGGUCUCGUGUCUUUUUUUCCCUUAUGGGUGGCUGUUGUUUGGGAAAUACUGUUGUAAACCAAAAGAUAUUGAUAGCCAUAGAAAGUGGCACUCCUGUAACCCUACCAAUGUCUGCAAUACCACGCAGUCCAGAUUGCAAACCAUCCAUCCAUUGUCAAACUGCUUAUCCUGCACACAGGGUCGCGGGGGGGCUGGAGUCCAUCCCAGCCAACUUCGGGCGAUAGACAGGGUACAUCCUGGAUUGGUCGCCAGCCAAUCGCAGGGCUACACAGAGACAUACAACCAUUCACACUCACAUUCACACAGCAACGGGCAAUUUAGAGUCCCCAAUUAACCUGAUCCCCCAGAGCAUGUCUUUGGACUGUGGGAGGAAGCCGG
ensembl:lncRNA